rnacentral:piRNA from 1 species
UGUCUCCUAUAUAUUUUUUAAUAUAACUGAA